rnacentral:rRNA from 1 species
AGAGUUUGAUCAUGGCUCAGGAUGAACGCUAGCGGGAGGCUUAACACAUGCAAGUCGAGGGGUAACAUGGUGUAGCAAUACACUGAUGACGACCGGCGCACGGGUGAGUAACGCGUAUGUAACCUACCUUGUACUGGGGGAUAGCCCGGAGAAAUUCGGAUUAAUACCCCAUAAUAAUAUUGAGAGGCAUCUUUUGAUAUUUAAAGUUCCGACGGUACAGGAUGGGCAUGCGUAACAUUAGCUAGUUGGUAGGGUAACGGCCUACCAAGGCUGCGAUGUUUAGGGGUCCUGAGAGGGUGAUCCCCCACACUGGUACUGAGACACGGACCAGACUCCUACGGGAGGCAGCAGUGAGGAAUAUUGGCCAAUGGGCGCAAGCCUGAACCAGCCAUCCCGCGUGAAGGAAGAAGGCGCUAUGCGUUGUAAACUUCUUUUUCAGGGGAAGAAAAUUUUCUACGAGUAGAGAAUUGACGGUACCCUGUGAAUAAGCAUCGGCUAACUCCGUGCCAGCAGCCGCGGUAAUACGGAGGAUGCGAGCGUUAUCCGGAUUUAUUGGGUUUAAAGGGUGCGUAGGCGGAUUGGUAAGUCAGUGGUGAAAUCCUGCAGCUUAACUGUAGAAUUGCCGUUGAUACUGUCAGUCUUGAGUACGGUCAAGGUAGGCGGAAUGUGUAAUGUAGCGGUGAAAUGCUUAGAUAUUACACAGAACACCAAUUGCGAAGGCAGCUUACUGGGCCACAACUGACGCUGAGGCACGAAAGCGUGGGGAGCGAACAGGAUUAGAUACCCUGUAGUCCACGCCGUAAACGAUGAUCACUCGCUGUUGGCGAUACACAGUCAGCGGCUAAGCAAAAGCAUUAAGUGAUCCACCUGGGGAGUACGCCGCAAGGCUGAAACUCAAAGGAAUUGACGG